GACGAACGCUGGCGGCGUGCUUAACACAUGCAAGUCGAACGGAAAGGCCCUGCUUUUGUGGGGUGCUCGAGUGGCGAACGGGUGAGUAACACGUGAGUAACCUGCCCUUGACUUUGGGAUAACUUCAGGAAACUGGGGCUAAUACCGGAUAGGAGCUCCUGCUGCAUGGUGGGGGUUGGAAAGUUUCGGCGGUUGUGGAUGGACUCGCGGCUUAUCAGCUUGUUGGUGGGGUAGUGGCUUACCAAGGCUUUGAAGGGUAGCCGGCCUGAGAGGGUGACCGGCCACAUUGGGACUGAGAUACGGAGCAGACUCCUACGGGAGGCAGCAGUGGGGAAUAUUGCAGAAUGGGCGGAAGCCUGAUGCAGCAACGCCGCGUGCGGGAUGACGGCCUUCUGGUUGUAAACAGCUUUCGCCUGUGACGAAGCGUGAGUGACGGUAAUGGGUAAAGAAGCACCGGCUAACUACGUG
rnacentral:rRNA from 1 species